rnacentral:rRNA from 1 species
GAUGAACGCUGGCGGCGUGCCUAAUACAUGCCAGUCGAGCGAACGGACGAGAAGCUUGCUUCUCUGAUGUUAGCGGCGGACGGGUGAGUAACACGUGGAUAACCUACCUAUAAGACUGGGAUAACUUCGGGAAACCGGAGCUAAUACCGGAUAAUAUCCUGAACCGCAUGGUUCAAAAGUGAAAGACGGUCUUGCUGUCACUUAUAGAUGGAUCCGCGCUGCAUUAGCUAGUUGGUAAGGUAACGGCUUACCAAGGCAACGAUGCAUAGCCGACCUGAGAGGGGGUAGGGCCACACUGGAACUGAGCCACGGUCCUGACUCCUACGGGAGGCAGCAGUAGGGAAUCUUCCGAGAUGGGCGAAAGCCUGACGGAGCAACGCCGCGUGAGUGAUGAAGGUCUUCGGAUCGUAAAACUCUGUUAUUAGGGAAGAACAUAUGUGUAAGUAACUGUGCACAUCGUGACGGUACCUAAUCAGAAAGCCACGGCUAACUACGUG